CCAUCCAGCCUCUGCUUAAAGGCAGCCUCCAAGGAGGGAGACUCUGCCACAGUCUCCAUUGAGGAAGGAGUGACCAUCUUCCAGAUGAUCCAGAGCAUCCGCCUCGGGGGCUAAACGGACGUCGGGAUCAUCUCUGGCCGUUCUGACCUCCGCCGAGCCUCAGGGAAUCGUGGGCUGAUGCUCCGGACCUCCCAGCCGGCCACCUUUCGGAGCCAUGACAGUCUUCCUUCCUCUUCCCGCAUCCGGAUCGCUCCCUCCCUCUGAGAGCCUCCCGAUUCCUCCCUCUGUCUCUCUUCAGCCGGGACACUUUCUUUUGCAGGGAAGAAACUGAGAAAGAGAGAGGGAGCCCAAGCCCUCUUGGCUUUCUUCUGCUGGAGGGACCUUUUUCCAUGGAACUCAAAACAGUGUCUUGAAACAAGCAAGAGGGGAGAUUUCCCUGAAUCUGCAAACACUUUGCAGCGCGGGGGGGGGGGGCCAUUCGCAGGGUGGCAACUGCCCCCGUCAACCUGUUGCACUUCAUUGUCGCCAAUCCUUUUACACUGCCGCCGCUGAGUAAAAAUAAAAAAUGUCGACCUCAUUGAAACCUUU